rnacentral:rRNA from 2 species
AAAUUGAAGAGUUUGAUCAUGGCUCAGAUUGAACGCUGGCGGCAGGCCUAACACAUGCAAGUCGAACGGUAACAGGAAGAAGCUUGCUUCUUUGCUGACGAGUGGCGGACGGGUGAGUAAUGUCUGGGAAACUGCCUGAUGGAGGGGGAUAACUACUGGAAACGGUAGCUAAUACCGCAUAACGUCGCAAGACCAAAGAGGGGGACCUUCGGGCCUCUUGCCAUCGGAUGUGCCCAGAUGGGAUUAGCUUGUUGGUGGGGUA